AGGUAUUGCAUCUGCAUCUCACCAAGGAGUUACCAUGAUUUGAUUUCCUGAUAAGAGGAAAGAUGGGGACUCCCGCAGUCUGCAAGUCAGCUGGGGCAGCUCUGCUUUGGGCUACAGACUUGAGGACAAGUCUACUCCACGUUUCUCUCAUUCUCCUUGAACCAGCAGUUACCAGGACAGUUCUCAUGGCUUGCAAGGUCAAGCCAAACCACACAGCACAUUUAAAUUCUCUGCUCAUGUCAUGUCCACUAAUAUUCCACUGGUCAAAACAAGUCAUACAACCAAGUCCAAUACCAGUGGAGGGGGACUCGACUCUGAUCUCUCCAGUGGGGGCACUGUAGAGCAACGUGGCAAAGACUGUGGAUGCCUUUGUUCCAAGGAGGAUGAGUAGAUUGAUGUUGCCCUUCUCUUUCAUGGAAAAGACGAAGGAGAAAAUAGCUACAUGAAAAGAUCAUUUCAUUGCAGAAAAAAAUUUUUAGCCAUUUCCAGGAAGUUACCAGGUUUGGUAAGAUUUUGUCCCAUCUCCCAAAUGCACAGUCAGCUUCAUGGAUAAAUAACCUGUGACAGAGCAUACGGUCCCACACCCAGAAGGGCCUUGUACUUGGUUGAGUGCUCUACUGCUGCCAUCUUGAAAUUCUUAGUGAUUUUUGAGCCAGGUGCCCUGUUUUCAUUUUGCACUGGGUCUUGCAAAUUAUGAGGCCAGUCCUGCCUGUAUACAUUAUGUUUAUGGUCCCAAAUGGUUAGCAGUAGUACUCAGAAUGGCAACCCUGAGAAUUCUAGUUUCCUGAAUCAUCCAAGAUUCAAUUACAAUCUCCAUGUUCUUUCAUUCAUUCAUUCAACGUGUUUAUUGGAUAUCCUUCUUAUUCUAAGUUUUAGGGAUAAAACCACGAAUCAGCCAGCUCUGCUCUCAUGAGGUUUAUAUUGUGCCACACUUUCUGUAUCUGCCCAUGACAGAUGACAUUCAUAUAUCAGCUAUUAACUGAACAUUGGCCAUAGAUAUUCAUGCCAGAGGGUGACAUAGAUAAUGUACAACAGGGGUUAGGUGUCAGUCCAGCAGCCAGCAGGAACUCCAUCCAUUGAAGUCUCUUCCUCUCAAGAAAGCAAAUCACAACGCAAGUAAUAGUGAUAUUCUUAGAAAGCUAAUCUUAAAUGCACUCUGUAAAAGAUCUUACACAAACUUUGCUACUUUAGAUAUUAUCCUAGUCUCUAAAAAGGCAAAAAGACAGCUUCAUUUUAGAAAUGAAAAGGUUUUCAACCAUAAAGACAGAAGUCAAAGGGCAGACUCAGUUUCUGAUUAACAUUUCCCAGGGGCUCUGGGAAUACUGCAAGAAAUGCCAUUUUGUGACAGCUUCAGCCAAAUGCCAGGCUUGUUCUUCAAGAGAUCCACUUACUACUGUAUUGCUCAGAGGAGUGGAAAGAUGUCAAAUUGCUGAUCUGCUUGGGAAAUCAAAUCAGGUGCAUUUCACACCCAAGCAGCAGGGAUCCUGCCCUGGGAAGGAACCGGGCCUUUUUCUCAUUUGCUUGCUUGAUAGAAACUCAUGCCCAUAGGUCCAGCCCAUCUCCCCCAGCCCCCAAACUAGACUCUUCUAGCAAGCCCAGCUGGAGGAAAUAUGUUAGCAACACCCACAAUGUCUUCCUGGGACAGAUAAUACCACAGUCCAGCUCUUUCAGAGCUUGUCCCUCUAGGCCCCUGGGACAGUGGAUCUCAACCAUUCACCUGCAUCAGAAUCACCUGAAGGGCUUCUUAUAACAGAUGACUAGGCUCCAUCCUAGAGUUUCUGAUUCACUUGGUCUGGAGUGGGUCCUCAAAUUUGCUUUUCUAACAAGUUCCUAAGUGGCUGCUGUUGCUGGUCAGACCAGUCUUUAGGAACCACUGCCUAGAGCAACCACUGCCUUGGGUGAAAGACUGAAUGAGCAACACCAGACUCCAGGCAGAGAAUGUUCCCGAACAGAUCCUAAUGCCCUUUGGCUUCUGACUUCCUCAUCCUUUCCUCACCUCCCAGUCAUUCGUCAGCUCACUAUAGUCUGCCUUCUGCCUCAUACCUCACUGAAAACGUUCUCACUGAAAUUAAACAUGGCUCAUCUGUUGCCAAUUUUAGUGGACAGUGGGCAUCAACACUUGAAUAUCUCACCAGCCACUUCAUAACUCAGCAUGUCUAAAAUUUAACUCAGUGUCUGUCUUCCUGCAUUCUUCAUCUGGUGUCUGUGCCUACUCAGCUUCAUAUUUUUUCCUCCUCAUGACAGUACUACUCUUUUUGGAGGGGAAUCCCCCUCCCCUCCAGUGUAGCUCAGACGUGAUUUCCAGUCAUAGCACCCUAUACCACUGCCUACAGGUAUGGGCCUAUGGCCAGUACUGGACAAUCAGAUUACUCCAUCUCUUUGGCCAUAAUGAUUGGCCCAGGGACAGUUGAUAACCCAUUCAAACCAAUCAGAAUCCUUCUCUUGGAUUUUAAAUGGCAUUUCAUUUAAGUCUAAGACACCAUUGGUGAUGAGAAGUCCUAUGAGUUUAGGGAUUAUUAAGAAAUAUUACCACUGAUUAGAAUAUUAAGAACUGUUAGAUAUCAUCUAGUAAGAGAAGCCCUCAGUUACAGGAAUGUUAAAAUUGGGGGGUGAGGGACUUUAUACAAUGCAACACAGAAUAUAGAUGCUGGAAGAUGUCACUUGUGACUCUUAGAGUCACUGAGAUAGAAAGAAAUGCAGAGCUGUGACAACACCCACCCUCUCUCCAUUGCACAGAGGAAGCAAGUCUGCAGUAAGAAAGAAUCAGACCAACACACAGAUGGAGGUAGAGCCAAAACAUGGACUGGCUCUGCUACUAGGCUUUAGUCCUUUUAUUCUUAAAUAAUUUGAGUUUGAUUUCGGUUGCUUGUAACCAUGGAAGUCCUGAUGAAUGCAAUCCCCACCCCACAAACUUCUCCAAUAUCCCCAAUAAGUAACUGACUUCAACACCAAUCAAAUUAUGUAAGUAAUCCUUGACCCCUUCCUUUCUGUCAAUCAUCCUGCAUUCAACUAAUGAGAAGGGUCCUUUCCAAUUCCUCCAUUUCUCUCCAUCUGUACUCUACCACCAUAACCCUUUCCACUAUCACCUUUCAUUAGACCACUGGGAUGUCCCCCUAACUGAGUCCCCUGUUCUAGUCUGGAUCCCUCUAAUUCAUGCUCCACAUUGCAGUCAAAAUGAUCUUUUCAAAACCAAAUGAGAACAUGUGAUAACCGGACUGGAAACCCUUUAAUGUCUUCCCUUUGUCCUUCCACAAUAUGACCCAGGCAUACCUCCCCAGUUUACUCCAGCCACGUUGAGUAUUUUGCAGCUCUAUACCUUUAAAUUUACUUUUCUUUGCCUGGAACGUUCUUCCUAAUUUACUUUGACUAAUGUCUAUUCAUCCUUCAGUCCCAGCUUAAAUGUCACUUCUUCCAGGAAGUAUUCCCUGACUGCAUAGACCAAGUUGAGGCUUCUAGCUUCACUUAACACUUUCCCAGAUUCUAUAGCAACUUCAUCACCAUACUUUUUAAAGUAAGACAUUUCCUGUAGCUUUUUAUAUUUGGAGAUAGUGAAAUCUUAUUUACACUCAAAUCUUUAGAAAAAUAAACCCUAUUCUUGAGAUACCAGUAAGAGACAGUCCUAUUUUGGGAGUGUAUGGUGGGUUAAGGAUCUGUGCCAAAAUGAUAACUAUUUUCCAUCUUGCUGCCAGUCCCAUGCCAGGAUGUGCCUCUGCCUAAUGGAAUGCAUGACAAAGAGUAGAUCCUUAGUAAUGAAUGAAUUAAAUAUAAGAUUUAUAAGUGUCUCAUGCAACUGUGGGUAUGCAAGCCCACAGUGGUUCAUGAACAGUGACUCGGGACAAGUCUGCUUGCUUGUAAAAAAAAAAAAAAAAAAGCC